UACGGAGGGAGCUAGCGUUAUUCGGAAUUACUGGGCGUAAAGCGCACGUAGGCGGCUUUGUAAGUAAGAGGUGAAAGCCUGGAGCUCAACUCCAGAAUUGCCUUUUAGACUGCAUCGCUUGAAUCAUGGAGAGGUGAGUGGAAUUCCGAGUGUAGAGGUGAAAUUCGUAGAUAUUCGGAAGAACACCAGUGGCGAAGGCGGCUCACUGGACAUGUAUUGA
rnacentral:rRNA from 1 species